GACGUGUCCUGUGUGACACAGGUUUCAGCGUGGACCUGGACCAUGUGAAGCACCUGCCCUGCUGCAAGACCAAGACAUUCGAAGUGCGCUUCAACCCACCAAGUGUCAACCUGCCACUGGGAGCGGUGGACGUGCUCCUGCCCAUCAAGCCAGAGGCCCCACGUUUCACGUCCGCCUCCGUCCCAACGUGACUGUGCCGUCCCUCUGCUUCUCCAGGGACAGACCGGAGUUCCCUGUCCAGUGUGGGUAGUGCCAGGAAGAAACCAUGCAGCUCCACAAUCACCUCCAGGUCCCCUGUAAAUGGUUCAUCACCAUGAAUGGGCCUGUUAAGAAGGUGGACAAACCUUUGCCAGUGAGGGUGCAUCAGAAGCUGCUGCAGCAGUUAAAGGCCAAGCCCUGUGUCUUCGAGGUGCUGCCCUCGGCUGGAGCCCUGGCCCCAGGACAGCGCUGCAACGUGCGAGUCAGGCUUUCCCCCCCAGAAGAGGUGAGAUCAGCCGGUGUCACCCCCAGGAGGUGUGGCAGGGCAGUGUGGUAACAAGAGCCCAGCACAGGGAGGAGGAGAUGAGGUCUGCCUGCACAUGGAGCUUUCUGCAAGCCCUGUACC